UAAACAAGGUUCGGAAACAAAAGAAAUCUCCCACCACCAACACCAACACCACCCCCCCCCCCAACCCCCACAGCGGCUACCACCAAUAAGACCAUGUUCCGAUUUAGAAUGGUGGGGAGUAGAAUGAUACACAUAAAUGCAUCAGCAGACCACACUGCAGGCUAGCAGAAAGGAGAAAUAAUUUAUUCAAGCAUUUGGAUGUUCCCGAACCAGCCCACAAUUUCUCUGUUCAGCUCCAGGACUUCGAGAGAAGCAAUGUUUUAAAACGAAUAAAUUGAGCUUUUAAAAGAGAGCGGACCAAUAAAUUGUAGGAAAAAAAACUCACGAAGGAACUCAAAUGAUUUUUAAAAAGCGAUGCUAUGAAAACGGAGAGCAAACGGAUGUCCAGUUUGUUAACGAUGUUUAUAGACCAAGGGCCAUUUAUAGUCUUGUUUGAAAGCAUCAUAAAAUGGGCGACUGUGCUGUCAAUAAUCGGAGCGGAUAUCCAGCCAAUUGUGCUUGAAAGAUGACAAGGCAACGUAACGGAAAGGAGACAGCAACUCGUAGAAGGGCCAAUGCUACUUCCUCUGGUGCAACCACGGUGUGGUCGAGAUCGGUGCAAAGAGUCGUUUGCUUCUGGAUUCUGUACUCCGUUUGCUUCUGGAAGACCCUCGGAGAAUGGGAGC